rnacentral:rRNA from 1 species
GUGUCUGUACCACAUGUACAGGAUAGGUAGGAGUCUAUGAGAUCGGGACGCCAGUUUCGAAGGAGACGUUGUUGGGAUACUACCCUUGUGUUAUGGCCACUCUAACCCAGAUAGGUGAUCCCUAUCGGAGACAGUGUCUGACGGGCAGUUUGACUGGGGCGGUCGCCUCCUAAAAGGUAACGGAGGCGCCCAAAGGUUCCCUCAGAAUGGUUGGAAAUCAUUCGCAGAGUGUAAAGGUAUAAGGG